AUGUGUCAAGCAACAUGUUUGAAACUGAGGUUAAGGGGGAAAACAGUCUUAAAUUUACUAAUUAAAUUAAAAUUCCACUUAAGCUUCCAAUCCUUCCCUCUCCCCUUCCCCACUGUGCUCCCCCUUCCUCUCCUCCUCUUCUCAUCUCCUAUACCCUCCCAGUGUCUCUUCCCUUCCUUCUCCUCUUCCCUAUCUCCCACCUAUCCUCUUUUCAACUGCUUUGCUCCUUCUUCCCCUCUAUCCCUUCUCUUUUUCCUCUCCUCCUCACUUCUUCCUCUUCACUUCUCUCACUUAUCUCCUUUCUUCCUCAUUUCUCCCCUGGAUCCCUCUCAUCUGUCUUCCUUCAUUUCAUCUUCCCUUUCUCCUCUUUUUUCUCUCUUCAUCAUCUCUUCCUGCCCUCUUCCCUCCUUUCUCUCCUCCCUUCUAUUUCUAGUUCUUUCUUCCUCUUCUCCCUCUCCCUCCCAUCCCAUUCCCUCCCUACUUCUUACUCCUCUCCUCCUCCCUCCCCUCUCUUCUUGCUCUUCUCCUGCUUCCCUCCUUUCUCUCCCUUCUCCUCCCCCCUCUUUUUUCCUCCUUCCCCUCCCUCCUCCUCUCCCUUCUGCAGUUCCUCAUCUCUUUCCUUCCUCCCCCUGCCCUAUCCUCCUCCUCUCCAAUUCUUUUUUCCUUCCUGCUCUUCCCUCUAUUCUUUUCCCUUCCUCUCUCUUCCUUCUUUCUCUUAUUUCUUCCUUCCUCUCUUUCCGUCUUCUCUUCUACUUCUUCCCUUCUGCCCCUCCACCCACUUCCUUUCCCAUACUCUCUCUCGGCUGGAUCCUCACCCCCACCCUCAUCCCGCUCCCUGGGUUUUCUGGGCUUUUUUGGUUCCUCACUUGUUCCUCCUCGGGUGGGCAGCCUCUCGCGCCCGGUGAGGAGGCCCUACCGCACCACCCUCCCACCUUCACUCCCUUGGCUCGCUCCCUCCCUCCCUCCAUCCGCUCGCGGAAUCAGGAGCUGAUGCGCAAUCAGCAGACCUGCGGACGCGACUGA
rnacentral:lncRNA from 1 species